CUUAUCUACAAUGACGGCCUAACCCGGACAACAUUGGGCCAAUUGUGCGCUGCCCUAUGGUAAUCACGGCCGGUUGUGAUACAGCCUGGAAUCGAACCGGGGUCUGUAGUGAUUCCUCCAGCACUGAGAUGCAGUGCCUUUAGACCGCUGCGCCACUCGGGGGAAAUAGUAGGCAGCAUCUUCUUGAUGUGUGCAACAGUUCAACAUUCUCCUUCUACUACCAUUUCUGUCAAACCAUCUACACAUACAGUUUGAUCACAUACAUUCGAUAAAUCCAACGUACUGUAUGAACCACACAGAACACACUGCAACUGCCUCUGCAACGCUAUGCUGCAAAGGAAACGCAGCGCUUCAUUGGAAAUUAAUGUAGUUCCGGUUUACCAAAAUGCUAUGACGCUGUCGGUGUGUUCGAGGCGUAAGAGCAGUGACUCCGUCGGUGUGUUCGAGGCGUAAGGGCAGGGGAGAGCACAGUGACUCUGUCGGUGUGUUCGAGGCGUAAGGGCAGGGGAGAGCAGUGACUCUGUCGGUGUGUUCGAGGCGUAAGAGCAGGGGAGAGCAGUGACAGACUGGAGCCUGGCCUGUAUGGCUUCAUCAUGUGGCCACCUAGUCACAGCCUUGCCUGGUGUGAACAUAUUCACUUUUUCUGUGGGUGGGAAGGGGUGUAUGAUGGGGUGUUAUUCUCAAUUGAUUCUAUGUAUUUGUCUUCAUGUGGACAAUAAAGUAUAUCAUUCACUACCUUUCAAAAGUUUGGAGUCACUUAGAAAUGUCCCUUGUUUUUGAAAGAAAAUCACUUUUUUUCCCUCCCCAUUUUUAAAAUAACAUCAAAUUGAUCAGAAUUACAGUGUAGACAUUGUUAAUGUUGUAAAUGACUAUUGUAGCUGGAAAUUGAGGACUUGAGGUGCCUGUUUCUCAAACUAGACACUAAUGUACUUGUCCCUAGCUCAGUUGUUCACCGGGGCCUCCCACUCCUCUUUCUAUUCUGGUUAGAACCAGUUUGCGCUGUUCUGUGAAGGGAGUAGUACACAGCGUUGUACGAGAUCUUCAGUUUCUUGGAAAUUUCUCGCAUGGAAUAGCCUUCAUUUCUCAGAACAAGAAUAGACUGACGAGUUUCAGAAGAAAGUUCUUUGUUUCUGGCCAUUUUGAGCCUGUAAUCAAACCCACAAAUGCUGAUGCUCCAGAUACUCAACUAGUCUAAAGGCCAGUUUUAUUGCUUCUUUAAAUCAGAACAACAGUUUUCAGCUGUGCUAACAUAAUUGCAAAAGGGUUUUCUAAUGAUCAAUUAGCCUUUUAAAAUGAUAAACUUGGAUUAGCUAACACAACGUGCCAUUGGAACACAGGAGGGAUGGUUGCUGAUAAUGGGCC
ensembl:lncRNA